rnacentral:lncRNA from 1 species
GACAAGUUAGAUCCGGCUACGAGACUUAAAGGCGGAGGGAACUGCUUGGACCGCAGCACAGGGCGGAUCAGACCGGUAGUGCUUCCUGUUGUGAGCCGCGCAACCCUGCCGGUUUCGCUUCCUAGAAAUGACGAGAUGGGCGUGCUCCUGACUCUUGACCAUUGGGAAAUCUUCCCAGCCUGGUAGCACGCCAAGCCUUGGGGGGUUCAGUGGCGGAGGCGGCUAUCUUUCUGGGAUAGGGGCUGAAUUGUUCCUUUGCUGCUUUUGCUACCCUGUGGGUGCCAUGUUUUAUCUCCUCUGCGAUACCUGUUUGCCAUCCCUGCCUUGGAGCCAGGUGAUUAUGGACUGAAACUUCUACAAAUUUGCACGUUGUUCAGAAUACUAAGAAGCUCCUGGCCAGACAUGGUGGUACAAGCCUAUAAGCCCAGCACUCAGGAGGCAGAGGCAAGAGGAUCACUGAGUUCAAAGCCAGGCUGAACUACAUAGUAAGACCCUGUCUCAAAAAAAAAAAAAGCUCCUGAUAAAAGAGGAAGACGAGAGAGGUAACAAGAAUGGCCUGCCACACAGGAAAGGAAAACUAAGCACUUGUACUGUCAGCUGCCAUGAACUAAGCAGUUUUGGGCCACCACACCUUCUACCAUGAUGUUUUUGCCUGGGAGCCAGCUGACUAUGGACUGAAUCCUCUGAAACUGUGAGCCAAAUAAACUUCUCCUUUACAUUACAGAUGUCAGGUAUUUUGUCCAGCAAUGGAAAGGCUAAGGCACUCCCUUUUUGUUACCUCCUUUGUCCAUAAAAAUUAGUCUUUGAGGCAUUUCUAUGACUUGUACCUAUUUCUAUUUUUAAUUUUUUUCCCCAGUACCAAGUAUCAAACUCAGGACCUUUUGCUUGCAAGGCAGGCAUGGUGCCACUGAGCUAAAUCCUUGGCCCUGGUUUUUGGGUUUUUGCCAGGGUCUCACUGUGUAGUCCAGGCUCACCUCAAGAUCACUGUGUAGUCUAGUGGCGAAGCCUAACCGACCUCCAAUGCUGCUUGACAAAGUUCCAGCUGGGGGAAAGAAAGGGUGGAACACAUCAUACCCUCAUGUUUUAUUUUUUCUUGC